CCUACGGGUGGCAGCAGUGAGGAAUAUUGGUCAAUGGCCGGAAGGCUGAACCAGCCAUGCCGCGUGAAGGUCAGUGCCCUAUGGGCGUUAAACUUCUUUUGUGCGGGAGCAAUAAUGGUCACGUGUGGCCAGACGAGAGUACCGUACGAAUAAGCAUCGGCUAACUCCGUGCCAGCAGCCGCGGUAAUACGGGGGAUGCAAGCGUUAUCCGGAUUUAUUGGGUUUAAAGGGUGCGUAGGCUGUGAGGUAAGUCAGCGGUGAAAUGCCCCCGCUCAACGGGGUGAAGUGCCAUUGAUACUGCCUUGCUGGAAUGCGGAUGCCGUGGGAGGAAUGUGUGGUGUAGCGGUGAAAUGCAUAGAUAGCGGGAGGAACACCAGUGGCGAAGGCGGCCUACUGGGCUUUAACUGACGCUGAGGCACGAAAGCGUGGGUAGCAAACAGGAUUAGAUACCCCAGUAGUC
rnacentral:rRNA from 1 species